CUGGCGCGUGCUUUAACACAUGCAAGUCGAACGAAGCACCUUAAUUGAUUUCUUCGGAAUGAAGUUAUUGUGACUGAGUGGCGGACGGGUGAGUAACGCGUGGGUAACCUGCCUCACACAGGGGGGAUAACAGUUGGAAACGGCUGCUAAUACCGCAUAAGCGCACAGUACCGCAUGGUACGGUGUGAAAAACUCCGGUGGUGUGAGAUGGACCCGCGUCUGAUUAGCUAGUUGGCAGGGCAACGGCCUACCAAGCCGACGAUCAGUAGCCGACCUGAGAGGGUGACCGGCCACAUUGGGACUGAGACACGGCCCAAACUCCUACGGGAGGCAGCAGUGGGGAAUAUUGCACAAUGGGGGAAACCCUGAUGCAGCGACGCCGCGUGAGCGAAGAAGUAUUUCGGUAUGUAAAGCUCUAUCAGCAGGGAAGAAGAAAUGACGGUACCUGACUAAGAAGCACCGGCUAAAUACGUG
rnacentral:rRNA from 1 species